UACAGAGGUCCCAAGCGUUGUUCGGAUUCAUUGGGCGUAAAGGGCGCGUAGGCGGCGCUGUAAGUCGGGGGUGAAAUUUCGGAGCUUAACUCCGAGACUGCAUUCGAUACUGCGGUGCUCGAGGACUGGAGAGGAGACUGGAAUUCAUGGUGUAGCAGUGAAAUGCGUAGAGAUCAUGAGGAAGACCAGUGGCGAAGGCGGGUCUCUGGACAGUUCCUGACACUGAGGCACGAAGGCCAGGGGAGCAAACGGG
rnacentral:rRNA from 1 species